GUGGCCUAAUGGUUAGAGCGUCCGCCCAGGAUGCGGGAGGUCGUGGGUUCGAACCCAGGCAUUGUCA